rnacentral:miRNA from 1 species
AAAAUUUUAUAAAACGGUG